AGGAUGGUUGUGGAGCAGGCUGCCCGGGGCUCCAGCCCACCUGACCUCCGCCUGCAGUAUCUCCAUCAGAUCCACGCCAACCAUGAGGUGAGGCCCUUCAGGGCUGCCAUUCCCUGCACCUUCCACCAGCCUGGGGACCAAGGACUGUCCCCGGCCCUCGGGGGACACACACAGGCACUUGGGUGCCGCCCAGCCUGGUGGAGCCUCCCAGUCCUGACAGCCAAGAGUUGGUCUAGGCUCUUCUUGCCAGGGAGGGAGUGGGGGCGGGGACAGGGACAGCGGGCAUGGCCCCACCCCUCCAACCUGCCCCCCCUUGGCAAGGACACUCCUGGGGGCAGGAGGUAUGUCCCCCACAUUAGGGUCACAGGCAAGUGUCUUUCCUGGGUCAGCUACCAUGUCCCGAGUGGGACCUGUGCCUGGCGGUGUCCCCCAGAGGGACCCGCUGACAUGCCCACUGAGAAGGUGGGGGCCUAGCCGCUGCCGCCCCCCCACCUGUAGACGCUGCUGCGGGAGGUGCAGACCCUGCGUGACCGGCUGUGCACGGAGGACGAGGCCAGCUCCUGUGCCACUGCCCAGCGUCUCCUGCAGGUGUACCGACAGCUCCGCAGCCCCAGCCUCCUCCUGCUGUGACACCAGCCACCACGGCCUCCGCACUCAGCCUCAACACUGCCGGGCACCCCCUACCCAGAACACUGGGGCUGGAUCAGCGAUGUCCCUGCAUUCUGACUCCGGGUCCAGACCCCUGAGCAGGAGCACUCUUGCCCGUGCGGCUUGUGCGGCCAGGGAGAGGGGCUUCUGGUUUGAGACUCGGGCGCAUCUGGGUCAGUGGUGUCACAUUCCCACCGCCACGCCCAGAGCCCAGGGCUGCCCCUCUUGGUGGCACCACAGCCCACCCACAGACCUCUUGUCCAGCACCUGCCUACCGCCUGACUGGGCGCCUCAGCCCUGCUUCUCUGCGGCUGCUGGGGUCACCGGGUGGGAGGUGCUCCCUGUGACCAAAGCACAAAGAUGGGGUGGGGGUGUUCCCUGCAGUUACCCUAAGACCAAAACACUCAACAACUGGUGCCUCCAGCUGGGGCCACACCCAGCAUCCAGCACUGUGCACUGUUUCCAAGGGUCCCUCAGGGCGGGCAGCCACCCCCCUUGGCCCCGGUGCUUUUGGGGAGGGUGACUCCCUGGACUUGACACGGUGCUCUCCUGUGUGUGCAGGGCCUGCGAGGCACCCUGCCUCAAAAAGUGACCCUUUCUGUUGCAAUGCCGUGGCCUUGGCUGCUUUUUACCCUCCCCACCUCGGUCAGAUGGCAGUUUCCACCUGGAUUGCUGGUGCCCCCUGCCCCUAGCUCUGCACCCCUGCCAAGUCUGGUGGCCUCUGCACCGCCCAUCCUCUGCACGGAGGCUCUGCUCUCCAUCCCAGGGGCCAGGGCAGCCUACUGCCACACCAACCCCACUCCUGGAGCCCCCCGAGUACUCUUCCCUGCCUCUCUCUCCAGCUGCUGCCCCGGGCUCUGGGGGCUCUGCUGAGUGUCUGAGGCCAAGUGCACUGGCGAAGCUCAGCAAACAGAAACCCCUCUUCAGUGCCCCAUGGAGUCGGGGAGCCCUGAGAGCACCUGAGC
rnacentral:lncRNA from 1 species